GGAUUAGGACUUGAUUCAAAGUCCAUUGAAGUCAAUGGGAAUCUUUCUUUUGAUGUCAACGGUCUUUGGAUCAAGUCCUUACU
rnacentral:pre_miRNA from 1 species